rnacentral:rRNA from 1 species
UACGUAGGGGGCUAGCGUUGUCCGGAUUCAUUGGGCGUAAAGAGCGUGUAGGCGGCUUGGUAAGUCCGCUGUGAAAGUCGGGGGCUCAACCCUCGAAUGCCGGUGGAUACUGUCGGGCUAGAGUGCGGAAGAGGCGAGUGGAAUUCCUGGUGUAGCGGUGAAAUGCGCAGAUAUCAGGAGGAACACCGAUUGCGAAGGCAGCUCGCUGGGACGUAACUGACGCUGAGACGCGAAAGCGUGGGGAGCAAACAGG